rnacentral:tRNA from 1 species
GUGAAUGUGGCUCAGUGGUAGAGCGCUUGCCUAGCAUGUGUGAGGCCCUGGGUUUAAUUCUCAGCACCACG